CAACUUUUUCUUUCCAACUCCGGGUCAUGUAACAAAAAUCAAGAGAACCGCACAAAAAAUCAUGGCAGUUAUCAGAUUAAAACAAGAAAGCUGCAACUCGCGAGAGCCGGUAAAUGGACACUCUGGAAUUCCGAGCGCUGAGUAGCAACACAAUGACGAUCCCGAAGUCACACACUGGACUGCAAAUGACAUAAUAAAUUCAACAAACAGCUCUGCAGAGACUGUCUUUUUGGAAGACUUUUCAAUUGGUACUACUAACAGCUCGAUCCGUUUGCAAGAAGACUGGAUUAUCAGAAGUAGCGAAGCCGUUCUUCCAAACGAAACUGAGAGAUGUUAUGAAGUUUUGAAUUCCUCUAUAACAUUUUCAGGUAAUAAUACAUGGAAAAUUGCAUCAUAUGUACUGUACUAGUACUGCAACUGUCCUGUUGGGUCGAUUCUCGUUUACUUUUAUAAUAAAUUUGGUAAUAACAAGACGGUAAAGUUACCUACCCCGGUAAACUAUUAAAGUCCAUUUUAAGUGACCUGUAGUCCUGUAGGGUAGAGUACGAUUUACACGAAUGCAGGUACGUACUAUGUGCCUGAGCACAAUAUAAUUGUAAAUUACAAUUGCUGAGUACACACAGUGACACAGUAAUUAAUUUAUGCAUUUCUAAAAAAAUGUGACAACUUCAAAUUCAAUAUUAUAUUACCUACAACGACUACAAGUAUAGCUGUGGACGGCCAUCCAGUUCAGACAUACAGCAUCUGCCACAAGCAUCCCGGGCGUGAAAAUGACACUUCCUUUGCUAAUGGAACUUCAAGUAAUUGGACAAAAAUGGAGAAUAAUGAAGAAUUUUCUGGAAUUGUGGUUCUCAAUUCAAACAAAUGCAGCCAGCACGAUAUUGUCGCAGAAAUUCGAGAUAUUUUACUACGCGCCAUUGGCCAUCCAGCUGCACUGAACAGUUCGCAUGUCAGAUAUUUGGGAGAAGUUGUUGGAGAGAUUGCUUCCCAAGCACAACAGCACUACCUAGUUGGUCAAUUCGAUACAGAAAAGAAUCAUUCUGUGUUCUUUCUCGAGGAAAAUGCCAAAGAGCUAAAAACCCGCCUUGUGACAGCAUUGGGGAUGGCGUUAGGAAAUCUUUCGAUUUCAUUAACAAGUGUCAGCGAUAAUUUUCAGAAUGAUAAAGAGGUUUGGAAUGAUUUCGAAAAGGGCAUUCAAGAUGCAUUCGUUUUGAAUAAGUCCCUCAACGAAUCGUUAUACACGGCUCAUAUUGUCGCCACACAAAUUCGCCUACAAAAAAUGGCUACAGAAAAUUCAUGCCGCUUAAAUAACGUGCUGCAAGAACAAGAGUUUCUCGAAGCUAUGGGUAAAGCCAUAAUUACGGUCUUGCAAGCCGGCGAGGAAAGCCAUAGUGAAGAACAGAUCUUUCGAUUAUUGUCACACUGGAUAACAUCGUACGUAAAAAUUGCUUUAAUCGUGGGUGACGUCUACGAUCCAUUACUCGACGAGGAUAUCGUGAAAGUGGCUAAUGAUACUGCCAGAAUUGUGCAACACUCGGUCUUCCGCAUCACUUCUCGCAAAAUUCUUAAUGAACCAAAAACGCUUGAGUUGGAAAAUGCCAGCCGACUUUACGCAAAAAACCUACUGACCGGCAGAGUUAUCAAUUUGUCGAUUCUGACGUUGCUUCACAUUUCGCCGUCAGUAAUUGGCUACUGGAACAAGGAGAGCUUUUCAGAGUCUCUUCCUUCGGAUUGGUUAGCACUUACUGACCCAAACUUGAACAAAUUGGCAGAACUACAAACCCCAACGUAAUUCGCAGUAAGAUUCGUGCAUGAACUGCCUUGGAACACUCUAUCAGGCUAUACAUCGCUUUUUUGCAAACUUUUGACACGCUUUGAAUUUAGUGUUUCUAUAUUGCUGGCAAUACGUAAAUUUUUACUGAUAAAAUGCAAAGUCACAAACAAAGUUUACAGGCAGUUUGUUAAAUUACACAGACGGCAACGCUUGUGACCUUUAUUAGUGCAUCCCACUGGAAAGCAGUUGGAGGCUAGCACAAUCUAAUUUUAUUUGGCAAGUUUGCCUUAACUAAAAUGCAAUUAGCUGGGUUGAAUUAUUCCAGUUACUUUUUGGUCGCUAUUACCCGGUUGGCGGUAAUCAUUCUAAUCGGUGGACUUUUUCGGGAAGUACACACUGUUGGCUGGUCUGACAGAUACAACGGUAAGUUUAUUUUAGCUGUGAGUUUCACAGAGUGCCUUAUAUCAUGAACUUGACUUUAAACAGUCCUAUCUGUAAUAAAAACGAGUCCCACAGGUAAAAACAAAAUAAAUAUCACCUCACAAUUUGGACGAAUGAGUGCGGUAGGUCUACGAGUCCUACCACCUCCUACCUAAACAUACUGUAUUACUGUAUUAAAUUUUCUGUUUUAUAUAAAUAACUACAUACUCUAAUGUUCUUAUGAAUAGCUGUGUAAGUGCUAAUUUUUUUGACAUCGAGGAACAGCACUGAUUUUGAUCAAGCAGCUCUUACAAAAGCAAAUUGUUAAAUCAACUUGUUAAUAUAGUACUUCGUUUUUGGAUUGCAAAGACAAAAGCGUACAGCGAAGUGUUGCUAUAGAGUACAGCUAUGUACAGUGAUUUUGAAGCUAUAAACAGGCAGAUAAAAAGUUCAUACAUUUAAAAAAAUGUAAUUUAUACUGUAAUAUUAUUGCUUCCUUCUUUGCAGUUGAUCCCAGAAGGUCAGCACUGGUAUGGACUACUGGUCACAAUAUUUCUGUAGUCGUCUGCCCAGCUGAUGCCAGUACUUCCACUGCCGCAACAAGCGAUCAAGAUGAUGGCGCACGAACUGCGAGGGACUACAACAUCGCCUUUGAC